rnacentral:rRNA from 1 species
AUUGAACGCUGGCGGCCUGCCUUACACAUGCAAGUCGAACGGCACCACGGGUGCUUGCACCUGGUGGCGAGUGGCGAACGGGUGAGUAAUACAUCGGAACGUACCUUAUCGUGGCGGAUAACGCAGGGAAAGCUGAACUAAUACCGCAUACGCCAUGAGGGGGAAAGCGGGGGAUCGAAAGACAUCGCGCGAUUAGAGCGGCCGAUGCCUGAUUAGCUCGUUGGUGGGGUAAAAGCCAACCAAGGCGACGAUCAGUAGCUGGUCUGAGAGGACGAUCAGCCACACUGGGAAUGAGACACGGCCCAGACUCCUACGGGAGGCAGCAGUGGGGAAUUCUGGACAAUGGGGGCAACCCUGAUCCAGCCAUUCCGCGUGAGUGAAGAAGGCCUUCGGGUUGUAAAGCUCUUUCGCAAGGGAAGAAACGAUACAGUCGACUAAACUGUGUUAAUGACGGUACCUUGAUAAGAAGCACCGGCUAACUACGUGCCAGCAGCCGCGGUAA